CUUGGUACACGAUGAACCGUUGAGAGAACCGAGGGUGAAAAUGCAGACAGACUCGUAACGUUGAAGCUUUUUCUGUGCUUUGGAGAGUCAGCCAGGUCGUACGAUAAACGACGUAAAAGCAUGGAGAAAUUUAUUAUCGCGACGCCUUAUGAACACCCGCGUAUUUCACCACAUCAAAUAGAUGCAUAAACUUGCUCCACACAUAAAGCCUUUUUCACAUGACGAUAUAAGUACACUCGCACUCGUCAUACUCGUAGAUAUCGACAUAUAUCUAACUCGAUAUAAUCGAUAUAAAAUUCAAUAGGAUGUUGUAGAUGGCGCUUUAUGAUAUGUGCAUAUACGAGUUGUCAUCCAUUGUCACAAAAAUAUUUUGAUUAAUUUGAUUAAUUUGAUUUCUACUCUAAUUCCUAAAAUAAUUUUAAGCAAUAUUUUCCUUUGCAGAAAUUUUCAUUUCGAUUUUAUUAACAAAAAUUAUUAACUAGUAACAAAAAAUAUUAACCAAUCACAGAGCGCAUAGCUUGUCCAAUUUUUAGGCAGGUAUUCAAUGCUACUGUGCUUGUGCUCCUACAAGCUCUGUGAUUGGUCAGAGAAUUUUUGUUAGUAACUAGUUAGUAAAAGUAAAACAAAAGAUUUUACAAAGGAAAAUAUCAAUCUUAUUGAAUUAUAUACACAUAGAUUAAUAUUCAUUAUGUGUACGAUUGUAUUUUAUUGAUUUUUGUGAGAAAAACUAAAUAUUCGUUAUGUGUAGAUAUUCUAUACUGACAAAAUUAAACGGCCAAUAAGGUACAUCGCAGAUUCAAAAAGCAGUCAAGUGAAUUUCUUUGAUUUUAUUUGCACGAUUACCGAUGUGAUUUAAAUUUAUUGUUCAGUAGCAGUAUUAUUUAUGAAUCAGAAUAAUUCGAGCAAGAUUGAGGAAGAGAUAAUAUAACCUAAGAGAAAGUACUAACAAUUGAAAUAUUUUUAUAUGGCAAUAGUUUUCAAUCCUUUGCCAUAGCACAUUGUUAUAAAAGAUCUGUAAAAAUAUUUUUCAAAACAAAUUAUUAUUCAACGAAAUCAAUAUCUUUAUCAUUCUUAAUAAUUUGGAUCAAUUGAAUUUCAUAAUUGCGACCUAUUCAAUGACGAUGCACGUAGGAUACAUUCCUUGAAAAGAGCUUACAAAGCAAUGGCGUAUUUAUGAGGCAACACAGGUUGAAUUUAUUACCGUACAGAGAGAGUGUUCAACUGGACAACGUUAGAAAUAUUUCCGUUGUUUCUUGUUUUAUAAUAAGAAAUCUUUAGUAGAUGUUACUUAUAUUAAUUAAUCAAGUGCCAAUUAAAAAGAAUUGAAAAUUUAUUUCACAAUUACAGCGAUAUAUUAAUAAAAAACAUUUAUUUAAAAUAUGAUUUUUAUCUGGUGGCAGAUGAAACGGCAUAUGUGAAGCUCUUUUCGAUAAGGUAUUAACGGUUCGUAGAUGCAAUUAACCACUGAUUUUUCCACAACGAACUAAAAUUAGAAAUUCAAAUUGAUCUUUUUUCUUCUUGCUGCCAACCGAGCUGCUGCAACUAUAUUACAAUCAAGCCAGGUAGAAUUACUGGUCAAUUUUCUCCGGAAUGGAAUGAUUUCGCAAUCGUUGCGGAAGGUGAUGGCAGUCUAGGGUCGACGACCACGAUAUUCAUGUGAGACGAUCGUUAGACGUUGCAUAGGAGCAUUUGUGUCGAAAAAUGAAUCAAAUUUAUCAUAUAAUUGAAAUAAAUUAACUCUAGAUUAAUCUUUCUAUGUUCAAUAUUGUGAAUAUAGACUAUGAUACUUUAUUCUAUGUUACAUCUUCUUUAUGAAGACAUAAAGAUAUAUUUUUAUCAUUAUAUGAUAAUGAAUGAAAAAGAAUUUUUGGAAAUUAUUUAGAAAGAGAAAUCCAAUAUUGAUUUUAAAAAUAUAUUGCAAAGA